rnacentral:rRNA from 2 species
UUUUUAUGUGGACCUCUGUCCUUGUGCCUUUGGUACUUGGAUAGAACCACAUAAGCAGGUGAAACUUCUUAGAGGAACUGGCGCCCGAAAAGGCGCACGAGAAAGAGCAAUAACAGGUCUGUGAUGCCCUAAGAUGUCCGGGGCCGCACGCGUGCUACAAUGACGAUGCUACUGAGCAUGAUUAACUUGUCCGAAAGGAUUGGUGAAACUGUUCAAUCAUCGUCGUGACUGGGAUUGGGGUUUGCAAUUGUCCCCCAUGAACCAGGAAUUCCUAGUAAGCACAAGUCAUAAGCUUGUGCUGAUUACGUCCCUGCCCUUUGUACACACCGCCCGUCGCUACUACCGAUUGAAUGGUUUAGCAAGGACACUGGAUUGAGCCCUUGCGGUUUCGGCUGCUUGGGUUUGAGAAGAUGUCCGAACUUGAUCAUUUAGAGGAAGUAAAAGUCGUAACAAGGUUUCCGUAGGUGAACCUGCGGAAGGAUCAUUA